rnacentral:tRNA from 1 species
GCGGACGUGGGGAAACUGGUAGACGCAAGGGACUUAAAAUCCCUCGGGCUCAUUGCCAGCGGAUUUACAGCCCGCCCCUCGUCCGGG